AUGAGCGACGACAUCAUUGAGCAGAACUACGGCGCUCCAGUUCUGCUUCCCGAAGUGGAAGUGCUCACGGAUCAGGGAAAUUUGCACGGCAUACACCUGCAAGGUCUCGCUCCAAGGAAGACUCAAGGCGGUCUAGAUCAAAGUCGAGGUCCAGGUCUGAAUCUAGGUCUAGAUCCAGAAGAAGUUCUAGAAGGCAUUAUACAAGGUCAUGUUGGGAACCGGGCAAAUCCUGACCCCAACUGUUGUCUUGGUGUAUUUGGGUUGAGCUUAUACAGCACAGAAAGACACCUAAGAGAAGUGUUCUCUAAAUAUGGCCCCAUUGCUGAUGUGUCUAUUAUAUAUGACCAGCAAUCUAGACGUUCAAGAGGAUUUGCCUUGUAUAUUUUGAAAAUGUAGAUGAUGCCAAGGAAGCUAAAGAACGUGCCAAUGGAAUUAGGAUCGCUUUCUCUAUAACAAAAAGGCCCCAUACCCCAACACCAGGAAUUUAUAUGGGGAGACCCACUUAUGGCAGUUCACGGGCCUCGGCUAGAGGAGGAAGUGGUGGAGGAGGUGGAUGGAGAGCAGCUCAAGACAGGGAUCAGAUUUACAGAAGAGGGUCACCUUCUCCUUACUACAGUCGUGGAGGAUACAGGUCACGCUCUCGAUCACCAGCCUACUCACCUCGUGGCUACUAAAGCAUGAAGUUGAAGACUUUCUGAAACCUGCCAUAGAGCUGGGAUAUUGUUUGUGGACAAUAUUUUCUAUUGUCUCCUGUUUAAAAAGUGAACAG